rnacentral:rRNA from 1 species
GAAAGCAGGGGAUCGUAAGACCUCGCGCUAUUGGAGCGGCCGAUGUCCGAUUAGCUAGUUGGUGGGGUAAUGGCCUACCAAGGCGACGAUCGGUAGCUGGUCUGAGAGGAUGAUCAGCCACACUGGGACUGAGACACGGCCCAGACUCCUACGGGAGGCAGCAGUGGGGAAUUUUGGACAAUGGGCGAAAGCCUGAUCCAGCCAUGCCGCGUGAGUGAAGAAGGCCUUCGGGUUGUAAAGCUCUUUCGGCCGGAACGAAAUCGUCCGGGCUAAUACCCCGGAUGGAUGACGGUACCGGAAGAAGAAGCACCGGCUAACUACGUGCCAGCAGCCGCGGUAAUACGUAGGGUGCAGGCGUUAAUCGGAAUUACUGGGCGUAAAGCGUGCGCAGGCGGCUUCCUAAGUCAGAUGUGAAAUCCCCGGGCUUAACCUGGGAACUGCGUUUGAACUACAAGGC